rnacentral:rRNA from 1 species
GACGAACGCUGGCGGCGUGCUUAACACAUGCAAGUCGAACGGAAAGGCCCUGCUUUUGUGUGGUGCUCGAGUGGCGAACGGGUGAGUAACCUGUGAGUAUCCUGGCCUUGACUUUGGGAUAUCUUCAGGCAACUGGGGCUAAUACAGGAUAGGAGCUCCUGCUGCAUGGUGGGGGUUGGAAAGUUUCGGCGGAUGGGGAUGGACUCGCGGCUUAUCAGCUUGUUGGUGGGGUAGUGGCUUACCAAGGCUUUGACGGGUAGCCGGCCUGAGAGGGGGACCAGCCACAUUGGGACUGAGAUACGGACCAGACUCCUACGGGAGGCAGAAGUGGGGAAUAUUGCACAAUGGGCGGGAGCCUGAUGCAGCAACGCCGCGUUCGUAAUGACGGCCUUCGUGUUGUAAACCGCUUUCGCCUGUGACGAAGCGUGAGUGACGGUAAUGGGUAAAGAAGCACCGGCUAACUACGUG